UCAGCUGUGUGACCUGGGGCAGGUCACUUACCUUCCCCAGGCCUUAGUUACCCCUGCAUAAAAUGAGAAGCCUGGAGUAAAUGGUCUUUAAGGCCUCUUCCAACCCAGGUAUACGACUAUAGCCUAAUGCCAGGUAUAGACGUAGUAGGUGUUCAGGAGAUGUUUAUUUAGUAAUUUAACGAUAAGAUUCAAGGCAAGAUUCUGCAGGUCCCAGCACCCAUAUACUUCCUCACUAUGAGUUUUGCCUCUGCUGUUAGUUAAUUUGUGUCCAGUGCCAGCUCAACAGGUAUUAAACCAAGCACCUGGGAUUUAUCCCGCUUACAAGCCAAUAAGCUAGCCUGCUGUUGUUUCAUAAAUGCUGGCAGAAGACGUGGCUUCCUGAGUCGGGCACAAAGAAUUUGCCACUCCUGGCACAGGGAGCAGGGUCCCCUGCUCACGGAGAUAGUUCGUGCGGCACAACUUCGUCAUCAGCCCCGCACCCAGAUUCGGCCGCCAACUGCCCGUCCUCGCUCCAGCCCUUCUCAAGACUGGUACCCUGAGAACAUUGAGAAUGUCCCUCCAGGAGCUGCUGAGGGAUGCUGAGAGGAAAGCCCCAGAAUUGGCACCAGAAGACCUAGUUUUGAAUCUUCACAUUGAUACUCGCUAGUUCUGUUUCUCUGAGCAAGUUACAUAACUUUUCUGGAUCCCUGUAAUAACAGCUGAGAAUAAAAUACGGGAAAGUAUA